UAUUAUGUGAUUGUAUAGAUAAUUCAGAUAGCUUUAAUGAAAAACCAAGGAAGGAAUUUUCAAAAUUGGAUCAUAUUUUUUUUAUUAUUUGCUUUACUUGAAUGGAAUGUCAACGGGCGAAAACAUAAAAACUUUUCCAUGUAUUUGUCGACUGGUGUCAAAUUAGUUUUUAAAUCUGAUUCAUGGAAACGGAUACUUUGCAACGUGAAUCGUACUUUAUACGAAAAUCUUUUAGAAUAUCGAAAUGAUCUUUUAAGAGUGAUUGUUAUGCCAAGAACACGGAGAAAUGUUCCCUCGAAAUCAAGAUUAACCUUGCAUAUAUUUUGGUGAUGUUCUUUGAAAGAUGUAGAUCAUGCUGCAUUUGCAUUGAAGAACACAUACUUCAAUAUACAACAAAGAAAGAAUCAAUCAAAUACUGUCAUAACUGAUCAGUACUUGUCCUAAAAUAUUUAAAAUACAUAAACAAUAC
rnacentral:lncRNA from 1 species